GACGAACGCUGGCGGCGUGCUUAACACAUGCAAGUCGAACGAUGAACCCGGAGCUUGCUCCGGCGGAUUAGUGGCGAACGGGUGAGUAACACGUGAGUAACCUGCCCUUGACUCUGGGAUAACUGCGGGAAACUGUAGCUAAUACCGGAUACGACCCUCGGAGGCAUCGCCAGGGGGUGGAAAGAAUUUCGGUCAAGGAUGGACUCGCGGCCCAUCAGCUAGUGGGUGAGGUAACGGCUCACCAAGGCGACGACGGGUAGCCGGCCUGAGAGGGUGACCGGCCACACUGGGACUGAGACACGGCCCAGACUCCUACGGGAGGCAGCAGUGGGGAAUAUUGCACAAUGGGCGCAAGCCUGAUGCAGCAACGCCGCGUGAGGGAUGACGGCCUUCGGGUUGUAAACCUCUUUUAGUAGGGAAGAAGCGAAAGUGACGGUACCUGCAGAAAAAGCACCGGCUAACUACGUGCCAGCCGCCGCCGUAA
rnacentral:rRNA from 1 species